AUGGAGUCAGAUCUGAUUUUUGGUGAAGUAGCAGAUAAGAACAGAUCAUUUGAAGACGCUGACGAAGAUGCUUUCAUCUUUGAGGAAAUUAGGGAUUCUUCGGAUGAUCAACAAGUAGAGCAGAUCAUGAUGUUGCAUCCUAAGGAGGGGAUGACGUUUGAUAGUGAGGAUGCUGCUGUUAGCUUCUACAAAGAUUAUGCCAAAAAAGAGGGCUUUGGUGUAAUAAGAAGAACCACUAGACAUGGAGAAGAUAGCAAGCUUGUUUAUUUUACUCUUGCUUGUAGCAGGCAAGGGAAGGCUCAAUAUUCAUCCAAGAACUCAUUUAAACCUAAUCCAUCAACGAGGAUGCAAUGCCCAGCUAAGGUUAAUUCCUCUCGUCGUGAGGAGAAGUUCUGCAUUACAUCUAUUACGCUUGACCACAAUCAUGCUAUAAGUCCAAGUAAAGCCAGAUUUCUGAGAUGUCACAAGAAACUGGACUUACAUGCCAAGAGAAGGCUGGAAUUGAAUGAUCAAGCAGGAAUCCGUCUGAAUAAAAAAAUUGGUUCUCUUAUUAUGGAAGCUGGUGGGUAUGGUAAUCUUGAGUUCGGUGAAAAGGAGUGCAGGAACUAUUUGCAAGAGACAAGAAGGCUGAAACUUGGUGCCGGAGAUGCACAUGUUGUCUACCAAUAUUUUCUUCGGAUGCAAUCAAAAGAUCCUGACUUUUUUCAUCUUAUGGAUGUGGAUAAGGAUGGAAGACUGAGAAAUGUCUUUUGGGCAGAUGCAAGAAGUAGGGCAGCAUAUGAAUCUUAUUGUGAUGUCAUCACAUUUGACACUACAUACUUAACAAACAAGUAUAGCAUGCCAUUUGCUCCCUUUGUUGGCGUAAAUCAUCAUGGAGAAUCAGUUCUGUUAGGUUGUGGCCUUCUAUCCAACGAAGACACCGACACUUUUGCGUGGUUAUUUAAAUCUUGGCUAUGUUGUAUGUCAAACAAACCACCAAAUGAUAUAAUCACUGACCAGUGCAAAGCAAUGCAGAAUGCUAUUGAAGAAGUUUUUCCUCAAGCUCGUCACAGAUGGUGUAUAUGGCAUAUCAUGAAGAAGAUUCCUGAAAAGCUUAGUGGGUAUGAUAAGUAUGAGAAUAUUAAAUAUACCUUGUCAAAUGUGGUGUAUGAUUCCUUGACAAAAUUUGAUUUUGACAAAGCUUGGGUGGAGAUGAUCAAUAAAUAUGAUCUUCACGAAAAUGAAUGGCUUGCCGGAUUAUAUGCUGAAAAAAGGUGGGUACCAGCAUAUGUAAAAGAUACUUUUUGGGCAGGGAUGUCUUCAACACAAAGGAGUGAGAGUGUGAAUGCCUUCUUUGAUGGGUAUGUUCACGCUAGAACAACUCUAAAGCAAUUUGUGGAGCAGUAUGAAAAUGCAUUAAGAGACAAGGUAGAGAAAGAAACCAAGGCUGUUUCUAAGUCGUUCCAAGAGGAAAUUCCAUGCAUUACUCAUUUUGAUUUCGAGAAGCAAUUUCAAGCAGCAUAUACCAAUGCAAAGUUUCAAGAGUUUCAAGAGCAAUUAAGAGGGAAAAUCUAUUGCUAUCCAUCUCUGCUAAACAAUGAAGGGCCACUUCUUACAUUUGGAGUUAGAGAGGACCGCAAGAUUUUUUUUGAAGGAGAAGAUGGCAGCAUUAAAGAGAAAUGGAUUACUUCAGAUUUCACUGUCUUGUUCAAGCAAGAGGAAUGUGAUGUGCAGUGUAUUUGUAGGCUUUUUGAACUCCGAGACAUCUUGUGUAGCCACAUCAUUACCGUGCUUGCUCUCAUGGGGAUCAAAGAUGUACCUUCUAGGUAUAUAUUGCAGCGAUGGAGAAAGGAUUUUAAGCGCAAACACUUAUUUAUUAAAUGCUCCUAUGAUGAUAUGUUGAAUACACCAGUUGUGCAGCGUUAUGAUGAAUUAUGCAAGCGUUCUCACGAAGUGGCAGAGAAAGGUGCAGAGUCCGAUGAAUUGCGUGACUUGGUGAUGGAUGGGCUUGAUCAGUUAGAAAGAAAGGUUGAUGCAUACCGUGCUAGCCAUGCUGUUCAAGUACAGGCAGAAGAUCCAACAUCAAAGCAUGAAGAUAUAAUGUUAAACAAAGAAAAACUUGUACUCAGUCCAAUCCCUGUUCGCAGUGUAGGCCGUCCUCGUUCAAAGAGAAAGAUAUCUAAAGUGGAUCAAGUGAUCCAAAAAUUGAGAGCAAAGAAGCGGCAGGUGCCAACAAGUACAACCAAAGUGUAG
rnacentral:rRNA from 1 species